AUUGAACGCUGGCGGCAGGCCUAACACAUGCAAGUCGAACGAGUGGCGGACGGGUGAGUCAUGUCUGGGAAACUGCCUGAUGGCGGGGGAUAACUACUGGAAACGGUAGCUAAUCCCGCAUACCAUCGGAUGUGCCCAGAUGGGAUUAGCUAGUAGGUGGGGUAAAGGCUCACAUAGGCAACGAUCCCUAGCUGGUCUGAGAGGAUGACCGGCCACACUGGAACUGAGACACGGUCCAGACUCCUACGGGAGGCAGCAGUGGGGAAUAUGGCACAAUGGGCGAAAGCCUGAUGGAGCAAUGCCGCGUGUAUGAAGAAGGCCUUCGGGUUGUAAAGUACUGUCAGCGGGGAGGCGUUACCCGAAGAGGAAGCACCGGCUAACUCCGUGCCAGCAGCCGCGGUAAUUC
rnacentral:rRNA from 1 species